AGCACAAGAUCCUCAAGUGACCAUCAUUUCUCUGGAAGUGCAUCAUAUCAAGUUGUUCCCUACAAGAAUGUCCAUGGCGAAAACAACUUACCUGUGUUGUCUAAAAAAAUAAAAUUCAUUAUCAGUACAUAUUCUGUGCAAUGUAGUAUUUGCCAGAAAUGGAGAGUUGUACCAUCCAAACUGAAAUAUGAGCAAAUCCGAGAGAAUAUUAUACAAGUUCCUUUUUCUUGCAAAUAUGUCCAUGGGUGGAAGCCACAAGUUACAUGCCAUGAUCCAAUUGAUAUAUCUGAGGAUAAUGGCAUGGCAUGGGCAAUUGAUAUCCCAUGCAUCCCUCAGAUCCCUCUUGGGUGGGAAAGGAAUAUUACUCUAAGGAAUGAACAGAGCACGAGAUUCGCUGAUGUGUACUAUAUCUCUCCCGCAGGCAUAAAAAUAAGAUCCAAGAAAGAGGUCGGAAGGUAUCUUGAAGACAACCCAAACUAUGCUGUCGAUUUACAUUUAUCUCAGUUUUCGUUCAAGGUACCUAAACCUCCAAAUUGCCCUCGCCAGUCAAAGCUUAUUGAACCAACUGAA
rnacentral:rRNA from 1 species